UCCCAGAACUUCUGCUGCCAAUGUCCUUGUCCCCAUGGUGAGCCACACACCCCCACACCCCCACCCCACCUCUACAGAAGACUCUCCAACACUAGCAGACUGAAGACUGAAGAGUAGCAAAGGAUAUUUUGUCAUGUGUGAUAGUAAUGCACCUGAUUUCUGAGUAAAACAUGGCAAUGUAAGGAUAUUCAUUCUGUCAACAACAAUGCAGAAGACUCAUUUGAUUCUCAGGGGAACACAUUUUUGCUGUUUUUUGCUAUGCUGUCACAAGGUACUUUGUACUUACCCUGCAAUCCUCAGUAAAUGCCAACUGAAUGACCUCUGAGGGAGAUGACUUUAAUUCCACCUCUGUUUCUAAUUUCCUCACCAGCCAAUUCUUGAUAGAA